rnacentral:tRNA from 2 species
GCAGGGAUGGCAGAGCGGCUAAUGCGGCAGACUGCAGAUCUGUUUUGUGGGUGUUCAACUCACCCUCCCUGCA